rnacentral:lncRNA from 1 species
UUUUGUCCCUUUUACAAAAUUUCCAAGCUCAUCACCGAGUGAACAAUAUCCACGUGUUAAUAUAGAGAAGGAGGAUGGAAUUCUGCUAAAGGGAGGAGUGACUCCUUAACAAUUUUAUGUCUUUUAUGUUAGCAUCCUCCGCGAGGUGUGGAGGACGCGGGGGACGCUGGUGGUGCGGCUAUCUGAGACGCUCAGGAGGUUGAGCCAGUGCUGAGUGGCCGUUUCCAAAAUCAGCCGCUGGAUCUCUUCUUCUCCCCAGGAGCCAAGCAGCUCGUGAAUCUGGCGAUCUCAUCCGUUUUAUAUAAACGAUCCCCCACCGCUGGUGUCCCCCCCAGAAUGACGUUCCUUUGAUGUGUUUCAUUGAUCAGUGGGAAAAGAUCAGUCUUGGAUGUCCAGUGACAAAGGCAGAAGGUGACAGGCAGGAACAUCAACGUCAUCGGGUAAUUUAGCGGGACAACGUGGGACGACUUUCAGAUUGGACGCUGAGUUCCCAGAAAGAGCUGUGCCAUGGAGAGAAAGAGGGGAGAGAGACAGGAGAGAGACAGAAGAGAGACAGAGGAGAGAGAGACAGAGGAGAGACAUAAGAGAUUGAGAGAGACAGAAGAGAGACAGAGGAGAGAGAGACAGGAGAGAGACAGAAGAGAGACAGAGGAGAGAGAGACAGAGGAGAGACAUAAGAGAUUGAGAGAGACAGAAGAGAGACAGAGGAGAGAGAGACAGGAGAGAGACAGAAGAGAGACAGAGGAGAGAGAGACAGAGGAGAGACAUAAGAGAUUGAGAGAGACAGAAGAGAGACAGAGGAGAGAGAGACAGGAGAGAGAGAGACAGAAGGGGGAGAGAUGGGAGAAAAAGAGAGCAAGAGGGGGAGGAGAGACAGCGGAGAGAGAGGAGUGAUGGUAGAGAGAGAGGUAGAGGUGGGGGGGCUCAGACUACUAGAAACACUUUCAGGAGCAGACGGAGGACAGGAGACCUGCUGGAGGGACGCUGGACGCUUCCUCUCAUCUCAUCCAGUCUGGUUCAGUUCAAGACUGAAACCUGUUCAGGAUCCUCCUGACCUCAGAGGACGUCUCCUGAGACAGUCCAGGCAGGACAGACCACAGAGGGACCAGCAGCAGGAGGAGGAUGGAGCCGGAUCGGAUCGGAUGAUUAGUGACUCGCUCACAUCUGCAGGCGGGAGGAGAAGAUCGGAUCCCAGAAGCUUCAUCUGUGGAUCCGUCGAUCACACAUUCAGGAAGGAUACUCUGACUUUCGAGUCCUGUCUUCAUCCCAACCCGCGUCAACAGGAAGUCCAUGUCUGCCAUCAGCACGAAAUCGUCUGAUCUGAUGACGUCCCAACCCGAACUCUUAGCCUAGACGUG